CUAUGCCAGCUGGAGACACCCGGCCUCGGAGGCUCACGUUAUGCCGACCCCCACCCCAGUGCUGUCACGCCACUGCCAGUUGUUCCUCAUCUUAAUCCUACUUCAUGGUGGUCAUUUUAAAAGCAUCAGAGCUUUUGACACAGAACCAAAGCAGGGCAUUGCAGUGAAUGGGCCCUUUCUCUCCAUUGGUACCUGUAUUUGGUUUUCUUCUUUUUUGCUAUGGAUGAAGAUAUCUCAUGGAUGAAUGAUGCCAUUGUGAGCUUGGAGAAUACUAAUAUGGCAACAGGUCACAACAUGCGUGACAGGAAAUAGAACAACAGUAGAAAAACAUCUGGGACAUGCCUUAUGGACAAGCGACAUAAAGACCAGACAAGAAAGAAGAAAGGAAAAGAGGUGAGAAGUCACAUUAGAAAAAACUUACAGGAAAGCAUUGAUUCAACCAAGGGCAUAAACUUCAUUGAGCAGCUGGAAAAAUUGACAUUGUCUGGUACUUGGAAAAGAGGUUUUGUUCUGAACACUCCUGGUCUUGGAUAAAGGGAGGAAAUUUUAACCAUCCCAGAGAGUCAGGGGCUGCUUCUGCAACUGAGGUUUGUGCCUGGUACUUACUGGAAAUGGCUUUGCUUCCUGAAAGGUGAAGGUGGAGAAAGCUUAUUGAGAGAUCUCUGAUUGUGGGUGUGAGUUGCCUGGGGGAAGGAAGUGACACAUGAUAAAUUAAAAUCAGUUGCAUGGUCAAUGGGUAAAAUGAAUAGAGCUAAAGUCUGAAUCUCACAUAUACAUAAUUUUUUUUAUCAAUAUGUAUUGUGGGAAUUCUCAUUGUAAGAAAGUUAUUGCAAAUCAGCUUGUAAGUCCCCUAAGAAGCCUUUCUUGAUUCCCUUCCCUUCCUGAUUUUUUUCCUCCCUCUCUAUUUCUAUAACUAGGGUGACCAGGUGUCCCAGUUUGCCCAGGACAGUCCUAGUUUGCACCUGUUGUCCUGAUGUAAUCAUCAAUAGUACUCCCUUUCAUUUUCCUAAGUAUCCUGGUUUCACUCUUUCAUAAUACUCUGCACUUCUCCAUAUCAUAGCACUC
rnacentral:lncRNA from 1 species